GACGAACGCUGGCGGUGUGCUUAACACAUGCAAGUCGAACGGUAAGGCCCUUUCGGGGGUACACGAGUGGCGGACGGGUGAGUAACACGUGAGUAACCUGCCCUCAUCUCUGGGAUAACAGUCGGAAACGGUUGCUAAUACUGGAUAUGAGCUUGCAAGGCAUCUUGUGGGUUGGAAAGAUUUUUUUGGUUGGGGAUGGACUCGCGGCCUAUCAGCUUGUUGGUGAGGUAGUGGCUCACCAAGGCUUCGACGGGUAGCCGGCCUGAGAGGGCGACCGGCCACAUUGGGACUGAGAUACGGCCCAAACUCCUACGGGAGGCAGCAGUGGGGAAUAUUGCACAAUGGACGGAAGUCUGAUGCAGCAACGCCGCGGGCGGGAGGACGGCCUUCGGGUUGUAAACCGCUUUCAAUUGUGACGAAGCUUUUUGUGACGGUAGCAGUAGAAGAAGCACCGGCUAACUACGUG
rnacentral:rRNA from 1 species